rnacentral:siRNA from 1 species
AGCGGAAAACGGUCUAUUUCUCC